AUUGAACGCUGGCGGCAGGCCUAACACAUGCAAGUCGAGCGGUUGAAGGGAGCUUGCUCCCUGAUUCAGCGGCGGACGGGUGAGUAAUGCCUAGGAAUCUGCCUAUUAGUGGGGGACAACGUUUCGAAAGGAACGCUAAUACCGCAUACGUCCUACGGGAGAAAGCAGGGGACCUUCGGGCCUUGCGCUAAUAGAUGAGCCUAGGUCGGAUUAGCUAGUUGGUGAGGUAAUGGCUCACCAAGGCGACGAUCCGUAACUGGUCUGAGAGGAUGAUCAGUCACACUGGAACUGAGACACAGUCCAGACUCCUACGGGAGGCAGCAGUGGGGAAUAUUGGACAAUGGGCGAAAGCCUGAUCCAGCCAUGCCGCGUGUGUGAAGAAGGUCUUCGGAUUGUAAAGCACUUUAAGUUGGGAGGAAGGGUUGUAGAUCAAUACUCUGCAAUUUUGACGUUACCGACAGAAUAAGCACCGGCUAACUCUGUGCCAGCCGCCGCGGUAAAAC
rnacentral:rRNA from 1 species